rnacentral:rRNA from 1 species
GUGGGGAAUAUUGGACAAUGGGGGGAACCUUGAUCCAGCCAUGCCGCGUGUGUGAAGAAGGCCUUUUGGUUGUAAAGCACUUUAAGCGAGGAGGAGGCUACCGAGAUUAAUACUCUUGGAUAGUGGACGUUACUCGCAGAAUAAGCACCGGCUAACUCUGUGCCAGCAGCCGCGGUAAUACAGAGGGUGCAAGCGUUAAUCGGAUUUACUGGGCGUAAAGCGCGCGUAGGUGGCCAAUUAAGUCAAAUGUGAAAUCCCCGAGCUUAACUUGGGGAUUGCAUUCGAUACUGGUUGGCUAGAGUAUGGGAGAGGAUGGUAGAAUUCCAGGUGUAGCGGUGAAAUGCGUAGAGAUCUGGAGGAAUACCGAUGGCGAAGGCAGCCAUCUGGCCUAAUACUGACACUGAGGUGCGAAAGCAUGGGGAGCAAACAGGAUUAGAUACCCGUGUAGUCC